GGAAAUCCGCCUGCUCCCGCCGGAGGCCCAGCUGCAGCGGCUGAGCCACGCUUCUCCAGAGGAGUAGACUGGGUGCGGGACGCCGAAAGGUGACGGGAGACGCACGAAGGCUGCCUGAGGGACAUCUUGGUUGCAGACAUCCGGAAGAGGACUUGGGAAAACAGUGGAGCACAGGAUGGAAAAACGCCUUGUUUCUUAACCACCAUGUGGAAACAACUACUGACACUUAAUGAUUCAGUGGAAGUCCACUCUAUUUCAGAGUCAGCACCACCAAUGAAAUGGAAUGAAGGAGAGAGGGCAGUGGUAGUCAAGGUCCUCUUCAGUCCCAAAUUGUCUUUUAAUAGUGGAGGAACCAUUGUUGGAUUACCUCCUCAUUUUCCUACAAGUCCUUCCCCCCCAGAGCUGCCACUCUGCUAUAUUCUUUCCUGAAAGCAAGAAGCAAUGAUGAAGAAAAAAUCCAGGGUUUGGUCAACAUGUGGAGGCAAUAUCCUUGUAUUUUGUUUCUGUACCAACAUAGACAUUUUAUUGAAACACUAUAAAAUUAUGUUUUAAGAAUAUUUGUAAAGUGUAAAUGUUAUUAAAACAAUGCUGAAGCACUGUGAUAUUAAUGCAUUAAAUGUAAAACAAUGAAUUAUGUAAAUUACUAUAAUUAAUAUUUAUGGAAAAAGAUCUUGCAGGUAUGCACUUCAAAACCCACUGUAUACUAUAUUUUUAUUUUCAACUUUUAAACAUUUCUUUAGUUUGAAGAUUGUUGAUCAUUUCUAAAGAAAAUAGAGUUUUACUAAUAAACUAAUGUUUUAAUUUUUUAUUCAUGUGCUUUUGAACUGAGAAUCAAUGAGAGAAUUAGAGAAAAAAUUUUAUUUGUGAUUGCCUAAAUUAUUGCUUAGCUUAAAUAUGUGAACUAGCUAAUUUAUACUGAUUAUAAGCGAAAAAGUCAUAACAAUAAACUGAAUAUCUCAUUAUUUGACUUCCAUCAUACAAUGAAGAAACAUCUUUAAGUUGGGAAUUUCAUUUUAGCUUCUCCUUGUAGAGCCUUCUUUGUUGCCAUAGGUGUUCCUAUAUAGCCUUUAUGUGGUAGUUUGCACCAACAGGUAUUCUUAUUAAAAUAGGUUUAUUUUAAAUUAUACAGAUAAUAUAUUUAAAUUUUUAAUUUAAAAUAUAGGCAUAGAGUAGAAAUUAUUGUUAGAGAUUACAUAGAAAUUUUACACUAAUGUACAUGCACCUGCAUACAUAUGGAUUUAUAUUAUAUCUGUUUUUCUUAAUUUUUUCAUUUAGUAUGUUAUACGGACCAAAAUAAGUCUUGAAUAUGAUAAAAAUAUGUGGAAAAUUUCUUUGAGUGUUUUUUUUGAUGAGUACUAGCCUAGCUAUUAUUGCUGCAUAAAAAUUGACUCCAAAAUGUAAGAGUUUAAAGCAACAAUAAUCAUUUUAUGAUUUCUCACAGCAUGGUGUCUAGGGUCAGGAAUUUGGGGAUGCACUAGCCGAGUAGUCUGGCUUCAGGUCUCCUUUGAAAUUGUUGUCAGAUGGUGAGUGGGGCUGGAACAGCAGGUGACUGGAGAAGCUCAGGGCUUUGCUGGACAUCUGUUUUUUUAUGAAGUUUCCUUGUCAGGUUUUAGUAUAAGCGUUAUGCUGAUUAUGUAGAAUGAGAUAGAAGUGUUGGUCAUUUUCUAUUCUGUGGGACAUUUGGGGGAAUAUUUCAUAUUAUUUGUUCAUUUGUUCAUAUUAAUAAUUCAUGUUAUUUGUUCCUUAAAUAGUUUGAAGAAUGCAUCAGUGGAACCAUCUGACCUAGUGCUUUUCUUUUUUAACAAGGAUUUUAUAUAUGAAUUAAAUUUUAUUUACAUAUAAAGAAUUAUUCAGAAUUUAUAUUCAUUUUGUAUUGGUAAAUUGAAUUUGUGAGAUAUUUGUCUAUUUCAUUAAAAAUUCUUAAGUC